CGCAUCUUCAGCCACCUGCAGUUUCUCUGAUUCUUCCCUGGUCUCCUCUCUGCAGUGUCGCCAGAACACCUUCGCACACUCUAUUCUUUGUGGCCCUUCUGACUUUCUCUUUGCCGUGUGACAGGGGAGUCCUCCCUAACCAGCAGACAGUGAAGGUGGAGUCCACGUUUCUCGGCCUCCACGCAUAGCGAGUCUCAGACCCCGCAAGGCUGCAGACAGUGCUGUGGAAUACCUGUAACUUCUUUCCUUGGAACCAAGAUUUAGCACAUGAGAAGAAUCUGGAAGAAGCUGAGCCCACAAGGGUCCCAGGAGGGCAUUCUACCUGCCCACUGACCGUCUCAGCAUGCUACACCCUCGAGGGAACUCAGGUUCCCUGUCUGUAAAAUGCAGAUUCUCUCCUAUGAAAUCUCUGAGGUGAAUAGCUCUGGAUAAACUUCAGUGGCCUUCUUUUAGAUGUUUUUUGUUUUUGUUUUUUGUGGGUUUUUUUUCCCCUUGGGUCUUCCUGCCUGGGGCCCUCUGCCCUGGGUCUCCUGCAGAGGUUCCCACCAGCUCAGGAAAACACUCAAGGGUGAGUGUCUCAGAGCUCAAUAGGCCUGAGUUCCUUUCCCAAUACCUCCUACCACUCCCUGGACAUACACACUAGCACAUACAUGCACACAUGUGUGUGCAAUCAAGCUAAUCAGAGUGGGGCCUUGAUUGAGUCAGAGCUCUUUGCACUCCUCCACAUGUCCUCUACAGUGUAGCACUAAUUCUGUGUCCUCCGGGGUCAGGGCCAGGUGCAGCAGGUGCAACCCACAUUGCAGGUGAAACCUGUGAGUGAAGGAGCCUGGUGGGGGCUCUUGCUGUCAUCUAGGUGGAAGGAGAUGAAGAUCAGGCAGAGGAGGCCGAAAAAGAUCUGGAGGGUUUGGUGACAAAGGAAAAGAUCUGGAGGGUCUGUGACAAUGGAUUUGAAAGUUCUUUGUCACUUUCAAGUUCUACACAAAUUUGGGACAGACAUCAUAUGAUUCUAGCACCAUUGUCUCAGAUUUCAUAGCUGUCAAAAUUUUACAAUAUUCUACAAGAAGCAAAUAAAAUUACCUUGCAUCUUUAAGUUUAGAAUUUUUCUUUAUAUUUUUUUUCCAUUUUGAUCAUUGUUAGGUUUGAGCCCCAGCCGAGGUCCAAGGGAGCAGGUGGACAGGAGGGCAGGGAGCUGGAAGAAUACUCAAGAGACAGCAGGUAGAUGAGACAUGGCUUUAUUCAGCAGCUCACUCACACUGUCGGUGCUGCAUUUAUGCACCUCACAAACAAUAGUGGCUCCAAG
rnacentral:lncRNA from 10 species